UACGAAGGGGGCUAGCGUUGUUCGGAAUUACUGGGCGUAAAGGGCGUGUAGGCGGCCCGUUAAGACAGGUGUGAAAUCCCGGAGCUCAACUCCGGAACUGCCUUUGAUACUGGGGAUCUUGAGUCCGGAAGAGGUGAGCGGAACUCCGAGUGUAGAGGUGAAAUUCGUAGAUAUUCGGAAGAACACCAGUGGCGAAGGCGGCUCACUGGUCCGGUACUGACGCUGAGGUGCGAAAGCGUGGGGAGCAAACAGG
rnacentral:rRNA from 1 species